AUUGAACGCUGGCGGCAGGCUUAACACAUGCAAGUCGAACGAGAGGCGGACUGGUGAGUAAUGCUUGGGACUCUAGCUUAUGGAGGCGGAUAACUACGGGAAACUGUAGAUAAUACCGCUUAACAUAGGAUGAGCGCAAGUGGGAUUAGGGAGUGGGUGGGGUAAAGGCUCACCAAGCCGACGAUCUAUAGCUGGUCUGAGAGUGUGACCAGCCACACGGGGACUGAGACACGGCCCAGACUCCUACGGGAGGCAGCAGUGGGGAAUAUUGCGCAAUGGGGGAAACCUGACGCAGCCAUGCCGCGUGAAUGAAGAAGGCCUUCGGGUUGUAAAGUUCUUUCGGUAGCGAGGCGUUAACUUCAGAAGAAGCAACGGCUAACUCCGUGCCAGCAGCCGCGGUAAUUC
rnacentral:rRNA from 1 species